UGGAAUGAUGAAAGUUUGGCAGAAACUAAGGAUUAUGAUUAAUCCAAUUCUCUGCUCUCGAGUACAAU
rnacentral:snoRNA from 1 species